GCCAUUUCAUUAAUACUAAGUGUACGCAUUAAAGGAUCAGAGUCCCCGAUGGAAAGAUGAUCUGGAAGGACCCAUGGAUCUAUAUACAAGGACACAUUGACGAGGAGAAUCGGAUGCAUGCAGAUGGUGAAAAUGUA